rnacentral:miRNA from 2 species
GAGGGUCUUGGGAGGGAUGUGAC